rnacentral:rRNA from 1 species
UUUCCUACGGGAGGCAGCAGUGGGGAAUAUUUGGCAAUGGGGGAAACCCUGACCCAGCAACGCCGCGUGAAGGAUGAAGGCUUUCGGGUUGUAAACUUCUUUGAUCAGGGACGAAAAAUGACGGUACCUGAGGAACAAGCCACGGCUAACUACGUGCCAGCAGCCGCGGUAAUACGUAGGUGGCAAGCGUUAUCCGGAUUUACUGGGUGUAAAGGGCGUGUAGGCGGGUCUGCAAGUCGGAUGUGAAAUUCCCGGGCGUAACGCGGGCGGGUCAUCCGAAACUGCGGAUCUUGAGUACUGGAGAGGAUAGUGGAAUUCCUAGUGUAGCGGUAAAAUGCGUAGAUAUUAGGAGGAACACCAGUGGCGAAGGCGGCUAUCUGGACAGUAACUGACGCUGAGGCGCGAAAGCGUGGGGAGCAAACAGGAUUAGAUACCCGAGUAGUCA